UACGAAGGGGGCAAGCGUUGUUCGGAAUUAUUGGGCGUAAAGGGCGCGUAGGCGGUGCGGUAAGAGUGUUGUGAAAUCCUCGGGCUUAACCUGGGAACUGCAUUUGUGACUGCAUGGCUGGAGUGCGGGCAGAGGGGGAUGGAAUUCCGCGUGUAGCAGUGAAAUGCGUAGAUAUGCGGAGGAACACCGAUGGCGAAGGCCAAUCCCCUGGGCCUGCACUGACGCUCAUGCACGAAAGCGUGGGGAGCAAACAGG
rnacentral:rRNA from 1 species